rnacentral:rRNA from 1 species
UACGGGGGGGGCAAGCGUUGUUCGGAAUCACUGGGCUUAAAGGGCGCGUAGGCGGGUCGGCAAGUCCGGGGUGAAAGCCCCCAGCUCAACUGGGGAAGGGCCUUGGAAACUGCCGGUCUCGAGGGAGGUAGGGGCCUGUGGAACUUCGGGUGGAGCGGUGAAAUGCGUUGAUAUCCGAAGGAACGCCGGUGGCGAAAGCGACGGGCUGGAUCUCUUCUGACGCUGAGGCGCGAAAGCUAGGGUAGCGAACGGG